rnacentral:lncRNA from 1 species
UUUCACUAACGUGUAUAUAAAGAGCAUGGCUUAAAGAGUUCAUAACAUCAUUACUUAAAAAUGAAUGCCAAUUCAGUUUUUCUCAUUUUCUUCUUGAUUCAUGGGCUGCUUCUUUCACAUAAUACUUACAUGAUCAAAGCCACUGGAAUUGUUUCCAAGUCGUCUUUGAAUGAAAUAUCUUCACAAGUUAUUAAUUUUCAUAAGUUGAAGAUGGUGUCACAUAGGUCGCUAAGAGUACGAAAUAUACGGCCAUCUCCACCGAUGAAAAAUAAUCCUCCUCACUGGUAUCGUACUCCUCCGCCAGCAAAGCGAUCACCACCACCACGACGGCGAUCACCACCACCACGACGGCCACCGGCACCGCCUCCACCACUGAAUUCAUAUUAGUAUCUCCAACUCUUCAACCAUAAGACAUUAGCAUGCAAAUUGCUUCGAUGGUUUGUCUUCCGAUAUUUUUUUUUUAUUAUAUAUGAUGUGUAAAUUUUCGUUAUAAUGAAAUAUUGUAAAUUACUGCCUGAAACAUCUAUUAUUACGAGGCCAACUCUCUUUAAAGAUCUUGGGGGUUCUCCUAGUUAUAUAGAUUCUUGUAUUUUGUUUAUGUCUUGGCUUUGGUUAUUUGCCUUCCGUAUCUUCAGCACUACAUAAGUUUUUCCGAGGAGAUUGUGCUCUCUUUUUUCCUUUUUUGCCGCCUCUUUAGUUUUUUUCUUUAUAAAUUUCCAAGCCUAGUAUUAAAAAAAGGGGUAAGAUGUGCCUGACUACUUGAUUGAAAUAAGAUGAUUUUUCUAAAUUUAUUUGCAGAACAAAAUUGAAACUAUGGUUAGAAGCUAUAAUAAAGUCAUAAUGAUCAGCAUAUCAAAAUUAAUGUAAAGCUUGUAAUAUAUUCCAAU